GUGGAAAAGUCUGAGGCAGGGAGAGCAGCAGCAAAGACCCAGAGUGUGCAGAGUAGAUGGUCAGGGAUAAUCCACAGGACAGUUUAAUCCCUAAUCUGACGUAAACAGUAUAAUUUAAUCCCUAAUCUGACGUAAACAUGUGGAUUUAAUCCCUAAUCUGACGUAAACAUGUGGAUUAAGUCCCUAAUCUGACGUAAACAUGUGCAUUUAAUCCCUAAUCUGAUGUAAACAGUAUAAUUUAAUCCCUAAUCUGACGUAAACAUGUGGAUUUAGUCCCUAAUCUGACGUAAACAUGUGGAUUUAAUCCCUAAUCUGAUGUAAACAGUAUAAUUUAAUCCCUAAUCUGACGUAAACAUUUGGAUUUAAUCCCUAAUCUGAU